UACAGAGGGUGCGAGCGUUAAUCGGAAUUACUGGGCGUAAAGCGCACGCAGGUGGCUGAGUCAGUCGAUUGUGAAAGCCCUGGGCUUAACCUGGGAAUUGCAGUCGAUACUACUCAGCUAGAGUAUGGGAGAGGGUAGUGGAAUUCCCGGUGUAGCGGUGAAAUGCGUAGAUAUCGGGAGGAACAUCAGUGGCGAAGGCGGCUACCUGGCCCAAUACUGACGCUCAUGCACGAAAGCGUGGGGAGCAA
rnacentral:rRNA from 1 species